rnacentral:ncRNA from 1 species
UAAAACACUAUGAAGAGAAAAGUAAACUGUCUUACAUUUACAGAGAGAGAAUACAUUAGCUGAAAGUAUUCUUAAAUAGAACCAGUUGAAGACCACCUCUGAGUGACUCUAAUAAAGUUCGGAUAAAUCCGUUAAAAUUUUUUAAAGUGGCAUAUCAUAAUAUUGAUGUGCAAUUUGGGUGGAACCACGGGAAUAAUCUCUCGUCCCUUUU